GGUUGAGUGAAGGCAUGGAGGGGACUUGUUGGGGGUGACCUCCACCGGGGAGCCCGAGUACCCAACGUCAGCAGCCUGGUCCGGGACCUCUGAACACCGAAAAAUAGACAAAGACCCAAUUUGCUGUGUGGAAAGACAGAUGCUGAAAUGUUUUAAGCAUCAAAGCCAGAAAGAAAGAAGAAGAAGUGGGAGAUUGUUUGCCAACUGAAGAAUUUAAAGCCAAGCUACCUCGUCAAAAAGGGCUGGAUGACCUCGUGGACAGGAAGUGAAGUGGUUGGUGGGGGUCCUUUCUUGUUGUGGAUGACCCUGCCUGGUGGUCUGGGCAUCACUGCAGCAGCAGAGGCCGGGUACAGCCCCUGACUGUCCGUGUCCUGGUACAGCGCUGCGUGCCUCGCCUCCGCCUCGUUCUUCCCCACCACGAACCGGGGCAGCGGCAGGUCUUUGACUGAGGAAACAGGAAUCCAUUCACAGGAUUAGAGGAAAGAUUACUUUCAAAUUGAUUCUCGUGUGGUUUAAUGCACUAAACUCAAGACAGCGCCCACUCUCUGUUGCACUUAGAUCUUCAGAUAUCAUCAGUCUGAAAUGUGGAGUGGAUUCUAGCCCUGCCACUAUAACUAUAUUAUGGGAUUAUUGAUCGAUGUAUGGGGGGGGACAUGACCUCGAUCAUUUUUGCUGACCUGGAUACUCUGUGUUUCUUUUUUUAAAUGGAUAUCAAUGAA